rnacentral:tRNA from 63 species
AAUCGUGAGGGUUCAAGUCCCUCUAUCCCCA